UUUUUUCUUUGCUCUUGACACCUUCCAUCCUUUUGGAAAAAAUCCCCCUUUUUUCAAGCUGUCUUGUAACUUUUCAUGAAAUGCUUAGGCUGAUCCAUGUUUCAUUUCCAUCCACAGCCAUUAGCUAGUAAUUACUUGCUUCUUGAUAUGCCUUACAUCUUGGAUUGAGUUUUGCAGAAUAGGACUUAUUCCAGUCUCCCUAGGAUAUUGUCUUCUGUAUCACUGAGGAGACCUAUCUUCAUGCCAGCACAACUGAGAUCUGGAAUCUUAUCCUAGCUCCCAUAUGCAUUGGAAUCCCCAGCUAGGAGUUGUGCUUACGGCAGAGAGCAUUAAUGACAGAGGAGUAGACACAGUGAGCCAAAAUGCUGGCAUAAGGGGUUGAUUUUUUAAAAAAUAUUUGUGAGCAACAAACUGAGGGUAUUUUUGUUAAUUGUGUUGUAGACUUUCAUUUUUCCCUCUUAUAGCAUAUUUUGAUUAAAUAGAAAUGCAAUGCUAGCCUAAGGUAAAUUGGGAAAUCAGUCCUUUGGAUGCAAUUGCUUGUUGUUUUUCUUUCCAUUCCUGAUGAAGAACAUUUUGAUGUCACUAAAAUUCCUAGUGCCUGAUGACUGAAAUUCCAUCAUGCAGCAUAACUUAAAAAGUACAAAUCAAACUCUUGAAAGAUGUAAUCUGCUUCUUCAGUCACCAGUGACCAAGUAAUGACACCUGUAUGUGGGGAGGUAGUGGAGUCGUGUACUGAGGGAAGGAAAUCUCUUUUAUCUUCAGAAAUGUUACCAUUAGAAAUUAGAGGUAAUGUUUUAGGCAUGGUAUCUUGCAUUAUGAUUUAGGCAUGAUAUCUCGCAUCUUGUAAUUCAGGAAGCCUAAAAACUCAGCACAAGCAAAUUUUAAGAAGGAACAGGUUUUGUUUCAAGAAAGCUUUUAGCCUAUAAUGGUACGAACAUGGUGCAACCCAUUGCUGUGAAUGUGUUUGGAUAUCCUGUGGCUAGGGAGCUGCUGCUCUUCCAUCACCUUCCUCACUCCCAGUUUGUGAGCCCAUCUGUUGGGAAAGAUAUCUCUCAGCAUGUCACUCAACAGUGUUUUGCAAACUGGAAGGCAGGAGGGGGGCAGAGAGGGAAGAGUGAGGGUACAUCAGCAUAUGUGGACCAAGGGGUAAGUAUUUAUGGAGCUUCUGAGAACACAGAUGAAGAUAGGGCUGGGAGAAGGACACUGAGGUAGCACAGAGCCUGGAGUGCCAUGAGGAGCUGAGAGUUCAGGAUGAAGUACUAGGCAAGAUGCACCUCCCAGGGAAAGGUCCUGUGCUUUCAUAACUUCUUCAUCUCUGGCUUGUGCAUUGGGUGGUGUUAGGGGACACCUGAGGAAUGGGAGGUGGUGUGGGAUUUCUGGAAGGCUGUUAGACUGAGAACCUGAAGUCUAAGGAAAACCAUCUUUUUAAAGAAGAGGGAAGAGGAGUGGCUCUCAUUAGUUGUGUUUUAGGCCACUGGUGAUCCCACUGCUGCUGAGUUGGAACCACAGGAUUACCAGCUGCAUGUUUUUAAUAGUUCAGAGUCAUCCUGGUUUCUGUUUCUGUCAUUUUGCACUGAGUGACUACAUGAAAUCCCUAUUCCCAGUCAUGUUGGAAGCCAAUUCCUGCGACCUCAAACACAAUCAGAAUCGUGUUAAGUCAGUUACCAUGCUAAGAUGUUACCAACUUGUCUUUCUCUUGCUUGUAAACUAGACAAAAAGAGAUUUGGGAGUCAUUUGUGGUGAUGUAAGAUCAGUUACCUUCAGUGUCAUUAGUGAAUCUUCCUGUACUCAGAUCAGGUAUAGUCAGAGUUCUUAGUUAUACUUGUAAUUGGCAUCACAUUCCUCUUUGUAAUAUUUUUUACUUUUAUAUAUAAGUGUAUCUAAAGUGAAAAAGCUUUUUAAACUACAUGUUUGUGAAUAACAUUUGUCUCCUUCAAAUCACCAUUUGCCCCUCACCUCCAUUCUGAGGAUGUAAAUUGAAUUUUCAGUGUCUAUGGUUCUGGUGUCCACUUAGCAAUGUAGACUUUCAGAUUCUUUUCUCGUGGGAAGACAAAGCUAUCAAAUUCCUGAUAGAACAUUAGUAGUUCUGGAAACAACAAAUGCACGUUUGUAAAAUCCUGAAAGAUAAUUAAUUUUUCUAGCAGAUAUUGCUGGUUCAAAUUCUAGUGAUGCAAGAAAGUGGUAAUGUGCAGAUGCUUAAAACUGUAGAUUGGAUAGAAGGAAGUAAAAACAUAAGCAUAUAACAUAAAAAGUGAAAAAAAAAAAAGGAUUUUUCAAAUUUAUUAUUAGUCACUGGCUUUCCUACUCCAUUGGAAGGAUAUUUCUUGAACUGAAUGGGAUGUUGAAGACAUACUUAAACAUGCAAUUUUGGGGAAAUUUUCAACAAAUAGUAUUAAUAAUAUCAAGGAGUGAAAAUUUCAUUUGUGCUGUUGAGAGUCAUAUGAUUUGAGAUUUCAACCUAUAGAUAAAGAUUAUUUCAUUCCUAAGGCAAGAAAAAUGGGUAUUUUGCAUAGAUGAGAUGUCAGACCAUUAAUAUUGCUGAAUACCCCUUUUUACUCAGUAAUAGAUUUCAGUGAUAAGAAUAUUUGAAAAUACCUUUUUAGGAUAAAAGAUCACACUGGAAGUGUCACUUCCAGCUUCUUUGCCAAGUAUUCUCACGGUUGAACUAGAAAAUUUUCCUUUUUAGUCUGCUCUCAGUGAUGUGAUAGGGUGCAAUUACCUUACCACAGUAUAAUAUGUUCAGCUGACACCUGCUGAGCUCACCCCAUUUGCUGAGUGAAAAAUGUUGACCUGAAUCAUCUCCACUGAAAGUUACCUUCUGGUUGGGAUAGAAAAUUAUGAGUAGUGCUCAUCAUUGGUUACAACAAGUCAAGGAGCAGGUCAGAACUCAUUAAGCCUAUCACACUGCUGAAUGUAGUACCCCUAAGUUAUCACACAGACUUAAACAGGCAGAUGGUAGAGAUCUAGCUUGUGAAAGAGCCCUAAAAUGAGUAGAUAUGCAGCUUAAUCUUUGAGCUGUAAUACGGUGCUGGAUUCAGCUGGCUGUAGAUUUCUUGUAAAGAUCUUGAAUCACACUGCAAGCACACUUUUAGGCUAGGGUGAUAACCUUAGUGAUAGUUACUGUAUAAAAGCAGAGAACAAGCUCUGGUAUGCUGGUGAAUUGGGAACUAGACCUUUCUCUGCCACUCAUUUGCAUUGCUGACUUGGCCAAAUCUGCUUGAAUGUCUCUGCUUCAUUUUCCUUAUUCAGAAUAUAAGAUAAAUAUAUCCUGAAAAGUGCAUUUCCAUGCUUACUUACAAUACACUUUUUUUUGUAAAGCACUUGGAAGAUGAAAAUCUGUUCAAGAAAAACUGUGUGGCCUUGACUCUCUUGUUCCUCCUUGAUAUGCUGUCAGGCACCUAAUGAGAGAGCUCUUGACUCAGCAGAAAGUGUGCCCUCACUUCUUAAGCUUCCAGACUUCUGUAUUGCUGAAUCACACCAGCAUAACAGUGCAAUAAAUUAUAUUGUCCAUUUCUUAGCCGGCAGGGGAGGGGGGAAUGGACUCCAGCUUACACCAACAGUUUCAUGGUAAAACCAGAAUUAUGCUAGAGUAUCCACAUGUGCAACUGUGCUCAGUUUGGGAUCCUGUUGGUAACUUUCAGAGUAGGAGCCUAAUUGCUUCUGUAUCACUUUGUUCCAUGAAUGUGAAGCUCAUGUGAAUACUGUAUUACCUGUGGCAAUGCAGACAGUGCUUCAUUAAUAAUACAAGAACGCUCUGGGUUCUCUGCUCUCGAGGAGAGAAGGAGCAGCGUGAGUACACGGCCAAAUUAUUUCAGGAGUGAAGGUGCUUGUUUAGGUGUGGCAAAAGACUUGCAGAAACUCACUGUUUCAGAGAUUAUCAAAAAUGCUGGACAAAGGAGAGAGCUAGCAACUGUCACCCCAGCUGGAGAGCAGGAUAAGUGAAUGUGGGGCUGCUGCUCUGUCCUGUUGUGGCUGUGCAGAGCUGUGUGCCAGGAUGGGCAUGUCACAGCAGGGCACACCGGGCACAUCACAGCACAGUUCUGGAAGGAGCCAUGGAGUGCAGGCUGACAAUGAGCUUGUGGAGAUGGGGACACAAAAUUCAGAUGCUGUGGAGAGCUGUUGGCUCCUUGAAACUCAACUUCUCCGACCUCAGAUGAAUCCAGAAACUAUGUCACCCUGCAAGAAAGAAUGGAGCUCAGAGGCUUCAGAUGGGGAAUUUGGAGAGGCAUCUUCUUCACAUCUGUGGAAAACUUCUCAUGAGAGGACAAAAGGAUAACAUUUUCUCCAAAAUUUUCAAGAGCACUAAACCAAGAUUUCCAUAAAAUGAACCAGGGUGAGGGGGGUGGGGGGGUGGAAUGCCUGCUUGAAGAAACAUAGAAGAACUGCAGAGGGACACAGGAAUGUGGAUGAAGUCCUUAAGGAUCUCUAGAGAGGGCAAAUUUAGGUUCAGCAAAGCUUUAUGAGACAAAACAUCCAUGAGGUGUAUACUCCUACAGCUCAGCUGUUCAGCCCAUUAUCCUCUUGGGGCUUUCCCUGUACUUGUACCUGCUGGCCAACUGACUGGUGUAGCAUGCCACCAAAAAGAAAAAAAAAAAUUCUGCACAUCCCCAGAGGAAAAUCACACUAGUGAUGAGUGUUUGUAUUCUUAUCUCAGAAUUGGGUAGAAACAAGAAGAAAUUUCACACAAUUUUCUAGCCUGAUAGCCUUUAGGAACAGUACAUGGAAAAUCUAUUCAUCUGCUGGUUUGCAUACCUCUAGAGGAUUCUCUCACUUCUACGUCUAAUUUUUGGACUACUCUUGGCCAGUUUCAGGGAAAAAAUAAUAGAUUAAUAGUAAUCUGAAAGCCUAUGAAGUUGUUACAAUGUUUGGGAAGAGAGGUGACCCAGCAGGUGAUAGAUUCCAAAUAGGAAAGAAGCCUUUAAGAGAUCCAGACCAGGAAGAUGGCUGUAGCUGAAGUUUAAACCUGUUUUUUAUGCAAAAGUAAAGAGAACACAAGACAUGAAAUUAUAGGAGGAAAGUAUGAUCUGUUUUUGUGAUACUCACAGGCCAGCUUCUUAAGUGACUGUACGCAAGAACUGUUUUCACCACUACUCAAUAAAGUUGUUAUAUAUGGUGUGUGCAUUGCUUUGUCUUGUACAACAAACAAAACACCCAGAUUUGUUACUUUGUCAUGAGGGAAAUAAAGUGGGCUAACCAUUAAUUUAAAAUGGGUAUGUAGCCCCAGCACUGUUUGUUUCAUGAAGUUGUACAGAAUGAACAUAAGAAAACCACCUGA